GUCAGACAGAGCAGGACUAAAUGGGGCCCUCUGGAAAGGGAGAUGACUGGAAAAUAAGGGUCCUCCAGUCCUUCCCAGACGACAGUCUUGUCCUCUUCAGCAUUACCAACCCUGUGCCACUUCAUACUGCGGACAAGUGUCUUAACCUUACAUCAAGUUCUUGUGCCAAGUUCAAUAAUGAGAAAAUCACAUAGUCUCGGUUUCCAAACCCGUCCCUGAAGAACACUACUAACCUCACUUAUCCUGACC
rnacentral:lncRNA from 1 species